AGGCUGUUAACGUUACUUUAAAAAUAAAAAAAAAUUCUCAUGGUAGGUUUUUUUCUUGUUUGCUGCCGACUUCACUUUUACUCGUUUUGGCUGCCUACUCCUCUUUUACUUCACUUUCACCUUUGCCGAGUACUUUUUUUGUUUAUGAUGGAAGAUUUGGAUUCCUAGCUGAUCUCGGUGUUACCUCAUCACUGCUUUACCAUGAAGGUAAUUCUGAGAGUUCUAUUUCAAGAAGGAUAUGUUAGUGGGAAGUUGACGAUGGAGAUUUUGGGUUUCGAUUCUGCUGAUGGUAUCUCUGGAAAGAGGGGAGGAAGUUUUUGCUGACCGUUUCUGCGCUGCAUCUAUUUGUUUGUCUGUUUUUUCUUGAGUCUGUCUCAUGUUUCUGUCUUUUUUGUUCUGAAUGUUCGUUGGAAGGUCAGGUUUUUUGCUGUUUCUUUUUGUAAGCUCAACAAAGAUAGUUUGUGUUUGUAAUGACAGGGACCUUCUUUUGUACAGGAGUAUUGGGAGAGUAUACCUUUAAGGAAUAAGGGCAUACUUACCAAUAUUCUUGAUGUUUAGCUAUGGCUGUCCGCCAUGGCUCUUGUAAAGGGGAAGUCUUUUCUCCUGAAAUCUCUCUUUGCUUUUCAAAAAAAAAAAAA